rnacentral:rRNA from 1 species
GUGUCAGCAGCCGCGGUAAUACGGAAGGUGCAAGCGUUGUUCGGAAUGACUGGGCGUAAAGCGCACGUAGGCGGCUUCGUAAGUCGGAUGUGAAAUCCCUGGGCUUAACCUGGGAACUGCAUCCGAAACUACUUAGCUUGAAUGCUUGAGAGGUUGGUGGAAUUCCAGGUGUAGGAGUGAAAUCCGUAGAUAUCUGGAGGAAUAUCGGAGGCGAAGGCGGCCAACUGGCGAUGCAUUGACGCUAAGGUGCGAAAGCGUGGGGAGCAAACAGGAUUAGAUACCCUAGUAGUCC